UUCUUAGAUCUGAACUCUGCUGACACCAAGGCGUUCAGAUUUGCUACUCUUCAGGUUUCUACUCCGGAUUUGCUGAAAAAGAAGCUCAAGAUCAGCUUAAUUAAUCAAAUCAGUGGGAAGGAAAAAACAAAUCCAUAAUAUAUAAUGGCUUCUAAUAGAUGUAAAACUAGUUGUGUAUGCGAAUCUGGUGGAUGGAAGAACAACUUCUAUCAAUUAAAUCAAUGCAGCACAAAUGAUAUCUCCUCUCGAAACAAUUGUAUCUCUAUCAGAAUCAACUACCGGCUCAAAGGCAGCCGAGAAUCUAACAUCAAAUAUGCAGUUUGAUUGAGAAUAUAGGUGAUGCAUUAUCUAGAAUGCGCGACAGGAGCAUGCAACGUCCUCAAAAGUUUUGAUACUUUUAUAUGUAUAGGAAUCUGGUGGAUGACGAACAAAAACAGAACCAAACUUCUUCUCAAUUCAAUGGCAUUAUGAUUUCUCCUCUUAAGUAUGAUUUUAUCAUUACCAUUUCGGCCGCCACCUCCUUACACGAUCUAUUACCACAACUACUACCAAAGACCACCAACAUCACCACUCUCAUCAGCAGCUUUUAUAGAUGCUCAAAGUGGUACUGCAGGAUUAGGUGGAUGCUCGUGCAGUGGAGGAAGAUGGAGACACCUUUGACAUCAAAUGCCUGGUAAGAGGAUCAAGUUUAAUCUAAACACCGUACCACAGUUUGAGGUGAAUAGAAACAGCAGUACAACUCUAAAUGUUGAUUAACAUCUUCUGCUUUUGUAUAUUGUGUUUUUGUCAUUGAUUGUUAGGCCAUGCCAACAGAUAUGAAUUGUAAGAUCCAGUUAUAUAUGGGUUUCUGUAUACUUGGUGGAUUACAACCAUGCAAGUGGUUGGCGAGGGUGAACUGAAUUGUAGUUCCGGUAUGUAACCAUUUAAUCUGCUUAUCAAGUUUCAACUAUCCGUUUAAGAGCAACCACAGUGGGAAUAUAACCAAAUAUUUGGUCAAAAAACGAGACACAGCGGAUAGACUAUCGAUUAAA